rnacentral:rRNA from 1 species
UACGUAGGUGGCAAGCGUUAUCCGGAAUUAUUGGGCGUAAAGCGCGCGUAGGCGGCCUCAUAAGUCCGUUGUGAAAGUCAAAGGCUACAACCUUUGAAAGCCGAUGGAAUACUGUGAGGCUAGAGUCCGGAAGAGGCGAGUGGAAUUCCUGGUGUAGCGGUGGAAUGCGCAGAUAUCAGGAGGAACACCAAUAGCGAAGGCAGCUCGCUGGGACGGUACUGACGCUAAGGCGCGAAGGCGUGGGGAGCGAACGGG